UACAGAGACCUCAAGCGUUAUCCGGAAUCAUUGGGCGUAAAGCGUACCGAUAGGUGGUUUAGAAAGUUUUGGGUAAAAGCCAGAAGCUCAACUUCUGAGUUUGCUCAAAAUACUUCUCAACUAGAGGGGCAAAGAGGUCCUUGGAACGAACGGUGUAGUAGUGAAAUGCGUUGAUAUCGUUCGGAACACCGAAAGCGAAGGCAGAGGACUGGGUGCCACCUGACACUACUAGGACGAAAGCGUGGGGAGCGAAUGGG
rnacentral:rRNA from 1 species